CUCGCAACAAGAUGAUAUGAAAGUUAACAAUUCACACAUUGAUCAUCAUAAUGGUUCAUUAAAAAAAACUCAAAGACACUACACAACUGUCUUCAGUCAUGGAGAGUGCCCAGUAUGUCAUCAUCUCUAAACAAGUGAUACUCUUUUUCUCCAAGUUUUACUUCAGUCCCACCAUAUUCAGGUAAGAGGACAUGGUCUCCUUCUUUGACAGAGGGAGGGAUAAGAUUCCCAUUCCUAUCAUGUGCACCAGG
rnacentral:misc_RNA from 1 species